AAGCGAUGAAAUUACUAUUCUUCUGGUAUGGAGUAGAUAAUGGAGCUUGUUGUGGGUUGUAAGUGUAACCGCAAACCAGAAAAGAAAACUUACAUU
rnacentral:sRNA from 12 species